GACCGCAUAGCUCAGUUGGCAGAGCAUUGGACUAGUAUUCCAAAGGUCGUAGGUUCGAUUCCCACUGUGGCCA
rnacentral:tRNA from 1 species